AUUGAACGCUGGCGGCAUGCUUUACACAUGCAAGUCGAACGGCAGCGCGGGCUUCGGCCUGGCGGCGAGUGGCGAACGGGUGAGUAAUACAUCGGAACGUGCCCAGUUGUGGGGGAUAGCUCGGCGAAAGCCGGAUUAAUACCGCAUACGACCUGAGGGUGAAAGCGGGGGAUCUUCGGACCUCGCGCUAUUGGAGCGGCCGAUGGCGGAUUAGCUAGUUGGUGGGGUAACGGCUUACCAAGGCGACGAUCUGUAGCCGGUCUGAGAGGAUGACCGGCCACACUGUAACUGAGACACGGUCCAGACUCCUACGGGAGGCAGCAGUAGGGAAUCUUCCGAAAUGGGCGAAAGCGUGACGGAGCAACGGCGCGGGAGUGAUGAAGGGCUUCGGAUCGUAAAACUCUGUUAUGAGGGAAGAACAAAUGUGUAAGUAACUAUGCACGUCUUGACGGUACCUAAUCAGAAAGCCACGGCUAACUACGUG
rnacentral:rRNA from 1 species